rnacentral:ncRNA from 2 species
GUUAGUCACUGGGAGUGCUGGAAAGGCCAGCUGAGAAAAAGACCCUAUUAGUCUUUUAUCCCCUAACCUGAUCUGGAUAAUACCAGCGUAGGAAAGUGUACAAAUACUUAU